rnacentral:rRNA from 1 species
GGAAUCUUCCACAAUGGACGCAAGUCUGAUGGAGCAACGCCGCGUGAGUGAAGAAGGGUUUCGGCUCGUAAAGCUCUGUUGUUAAAGAAGAACACGUAUGAGAGUAACUGUUCAUACGUUGACGGUAUUUAACCAGAAAGGGACGGCUAACUACGUGCUAG